GGAGAGAAGGCACCGGAAGGGAGAGGCAGAAGCCGCGGAGCCGGGGGGGCGGCUGCUGAAGAGAGAGGGGAGGGGAAGUUGAGUGAUGGCCUGAGAAAAGGCUACGAAAAAGAAAAAGGCGCCCUUCUGGGCAGAAGACUUAGAGGAAAAUGGUGCCCUCAUUGGGCGAGGUGGGGUCCGAAUGAGGGGAGGAGGCGGAGGGGCACCUGUGUGCCAAAGUGAGGGGGACGAGGCCCGCCCUGACCUGAGAGGACUGAUGGUGUGAGGGGAAGAAACCGUGCCACCACCCUCGAGCCUAAGGGAAUGAAUUCGAGUGAGCUCUUCAGGAAAGUACUCCAGGAACUGAGUCAUAACAGGAGUUUCACAGAGGAUUUUAUACCUUUGGGCUGUGGCAGCAUGUGGUAAGAGCACUGGGUGUUCAUGUUCUCAGGUCUUAUGAAAAUAAAAAACAUUACUGAAAUAUUAAUAUCUUAUAGAGUCAUCUAUGGAAAGAAUUUUAUUAAACUGCUUUAUUAGUUCACGAAGAAGAUAUUUAUUGAACACCUCUUAUGUGCCAUGCAUUGUUCCAGGUGCUUGGGAUAUAUCAGUCAACAAAAAAGACAAAAAUGUCUGUCUUCAUGGAGUUUACAUUCUGGUGUUCCAUUUCACAUGUGUGAUAUUUGCUAGAGCUUAUAUUACAAAGUACCACAGACUUGAUGGCUAAAAACAACAGAACUUUAUUUUUCUUACAGUUUUGGCUAUGGGAAGUCCAAGAUCAAGGUUCAACAGAGUUGGUUUCUUCUAAGGGGUCAGAGGGAAACAUCUGUUUCAGGUCUCUCUCUUUGAGUUUUAUGAGACUUAUAUGUCUUCUUGUCUUUACAGUGUCAUCUCUCUGUACGUGUCUACGUCCAAAUUUUCUUUUCUUUUAAGGACCCCAGUCAUGUUGGAUUAGAGCCCACCUUAAUGACUGCAUUUUAACUUAAUUACCUCUUAAAGACCCUACCUCUAAAAACAGUCACAUGGUACUGAGGGUUAGGAUUUCAACAUAUGAAUUUUGAGGGAACAGAAUUCAGCCCAUAAAACCACAUAUGACAGUGGUGUGUCCAAAUCUUCGUCUUGCCUGUUUUCUCAUAUCGAUAUCUCUGAGGUGUUCACAGUCAUUUAUGUUUCCCUGCAAAUGGUAUCCAGGUAAUCUGUUAUUACAAGUGAUUAUUUUUCUAAACGUGAUUUAUUUUUCUUAAAUAAUAAAAGGUAAGUACUUGGUUAGGAAUACUCUGCUAGGAAUGUUGCUCCAUCUAGUGACCACCAUAUUCAACUACUUUGGUCAAAGUUAUAAAAAUGAAUAAAGGGAACUGUGUUGGAAAGGGGUUCUCUUUUCAACGUGUUAUUAUUUCCUCAGCACUAAGGAUUCAUGAUAGAAAAUAUUUUUUUCCACUGUUAUAUGUGGAAAGAAAGAGAGGUCUACAUAAUAACAUUAUUUUUAAUUAUUCAAGUAAUAGCAAUAUUAUCAUUUACUGUCACCAUCAAUUACUGUUUACCUAUAUCUUCAUGAGGAAGCUGAGACUGGGUUUAAUCCCUUGCCCAAGGACUCACAGAUUAUAAGUACAGUUUCCUCCAAGUCUAUGUGACUCCAGAGUGUAAGCCCUUAACCA
rnacentral:lncRNA from 1 species